UUUGUACUCCCUCCGUCUGAAAAUACUUGUCAUCAAAAUGAAUAAAAGGGGAUGUAUCUAGAUGUAUAUUAGUUCUAGAUACAUCCCCUUUUAUCCAUUUUGAUGACAAGUAUUUUUGGACGGAGGGAGUACAAA
rnacentral:pre_miRNA from 1 species